UCCUCUCCCUUCCUUCCUCCCUCCCCCGUCAAGCCUUUGGCAUCAUUAUCCUCAUCACUAAAUCCUACAGAGUACAGGGCGGAAAACGGUGCACAC
rnacentral:lncRNA from 1 species